GCUUGAUCGUAGUCUUCAGAAUACAUUUUUGUCGUGAAAAUCGUACUUCGUCAUAAAGUAAUCAUUCGCAGCUUUUCUCAUUGUCAGUGAAAUUCGAUUUUGAUUUAAUUACACGAGUUUAAAAGAUGGCAGUGAAAGUUAUCGGCGUAUGUUUGACGUUAUCGUGCAUUUUUCUAUGCGCAUGGGGUGAACUAAUAACUAAAGAGCAAUUAGCUCAAUUUCAAGGGACAGAUCCCAUAAAAUAUUGCGGAUGCAAAAAAAGUAUGGAAAAGUUUUGUAAUGCGAUUGUUCAGAUAGACACCGGGAAACCCAAAUCAGAAUGCUUCAAGCAAGGUUAUCCACAAUGUGGGACUGGAAAGGUUAAAGUAGAAAAAGAAUGCGGUAAAGGUACAGAAUUGGCAUCAGUCAAAGUAAUCGCUUGUUCAUGGGGAACAGAAAACUUGUAUUACAUUUAUGGUAAAGGGCAGUCGCCAAAUAAUGUGAUGAAUUAUUUAACCGACAAUAACGGUAUUUAUAGUUUUUAUAAGGAUUAUCCAUACAAAGACGAAUAACAGAGAAGAGAAAAGUGAAAACUGUGAAUUGAAAAUUACUCGAAAAUGUUUAGACUUUGAAUGUUUCUCGUCAUGUUAUUAUAUUCUAUACCUUACCUACCUAUAUUGAUAUUAAAUCUGCAUAAUUAUUGA